rnacentral:lncRNA from 7 species
ACUGCCAUACCACCAACAUCUGCCUCUGACGUCAUGGGCCAACACCAUAAAAACACGGGCAUUAUUUUGGAGAAGCCCUUGUAGGUUUGUGGUCCAAAUUUCAUUAUAGGUCCCUACAAUUCCACUGACUGCAGAGUUCUUCAGAUCUUCAAUCACAUCCCAAAACUUAUGGCUUAUUUUCAAGAACGUUACUUUUCCCCAAAGAACUCUAAUUGGAGUGCGGAAAUUACACCAGGCAAAUUAUUUCCCAGCAAGAGUUUGGUGACCUGAGGGGUUCUUUUUAUUGCAGCCAAAGGGGUAGGUUGCACCUGCAACUACUGGUGUGAUGAAGAAUUUGAUUUACAGCUGGACCAAGAUGUCCUAUGGGAUGCAUGAUGGAGGAUGCUGAUGCUGCUGAGAUCCCUCAGUGUUGAUCUGGGUCAACAUCUGAGUCCAACCCCACAUGACCUGUUUUCAUCUCAUCUCUGUGGGAUUACAUGUGAUCAUUGAGACAAAUCCAAGAGAGACCCAGCUUCCCCUGGAAUUACCAGCCUGCAUGGCCCUCUACAUCAACCCAGACUAAUAAGGAUGUUGAUAAUGCAAAUGUGUCACUGCAUGCACUGUUGAUAAACUUCAGCACAGAGCUCUGUCAUUCUGGCAUCCUAAAGCAAAUGCCUGUGCAAAUAUUUCUCUAAAAAAUAAAUACUAUAAAAGUUACUAAUUCAAGACAAGGUAUGUAAGUAAAGACAUCGUCUAGUUUUUAGACCAGUCAGCUCAAAAGGAAAAUUUCAGAAAGCUUAUAGGCACACAUGAGAUUCUUCAGCUCUGCAAUGGAAGCAGGAAGCUUCCAAGGCAGGAGACGAUGGAAGUUCAGUCAGACCCCCGGUUGCUGUUGCUGGGAUACGGUCAGCAGGGAAAACGCAGUAAAAGGAGAGGCUGGGUCUGAAGACUGGAGGACUAUCAAACGUGUGCAGAAAUGACCCUUGUCUUGUGCCUGGAUGUUCAGCCAGUGAGGACCUGAGCAAGAAGGGACAGUACUUGCAUAAAAAAUAUUACUUUGUUUUGGCAUUCAGCUUUAUCUGAACUAACAGUAGAUGAACGUAACCACUGCCCAGUCCCAGCUGUGUCAUUGGUCUUUUGGUGAUGGCAGUCAGCUGCCUCCCUCUACACCAGCAGAAGAGGAUUACACUUGGAGCUCUGUGACUCGUUCUUCCUUGCUUCUAAAUUUCCUCCAUGGAAAAUGAAAGUAAUGGAAAUAAAAAGCUUUUUUGCACU